AUUGAACGCUGGCGGCAUGCCUAACACAUGCAAGUCGAACGGCAGCACGGGGAGCUUGCUCCCUGGUGGCGAGUGGCGGACGGGUGAGUAAUGCAUAGGAAUCUGCCCACGGGUGGGGGACAACGUGUGGAAACGCACGCUAAUACCGCAUAAGCCCCAAGGGGGAAAGCGGGGGAUCUUCGGACCUCGCGCCGGUGGAUGAGCCUAUGUCGGAUUAGCUAGUUGGUGGGGUAAUGGCCCACCAAGGCGACGAUCCGUAGCUGGUCUGAGAGGAUGAUCAGCCACACUGGGACUGAGACACGGCCCAG
rnacentral:rRNA from 1 species